rnacentral:rRNA from 1 species
AAUGCUAAACAUGCAGUCGAACGAUGAAGCUGGAGCUUGCUCUGGUGGAUUAGUGGCGAACGGGUGAGUAACACGUGAGCAACGUGCCCAAGACUCUGGAAUAACUUCGGGAAACCGGAGCUAAUACUGGAUACGAGACGUAAAGGCAUCUUUAGCGUCUGGAAAGAAUUUCGGUCUUGGAUCGGCUCACGGCCUAUCAGCUUGUUGGUGAGGUAAUGGCUCACCAAGGCGACGACGGGUAGCCGGCCUGAGAGGGUGACCGGCCACACUGGGACUGAGACACGGCCCAGACUCCUACGGGAGGCAGCAGUGGGGAAUAUUGCACAAUGGGCGCAAGCCUGAUGCAGCAACGCCGCGUGAGGGAUGACGGCCUUCGGGUUGUAAACCUCUUUUAGUAGGGAAGAAGCGAGAGUGACGGUACCUGCAGAAAAAGCACCGGCUAACUACGUGCCAGCAGCCGCGGUAAUACGUAGGGUGCAAGCGUUGUCCGGAAUUAUUGGGCGUAAAGAGCUCGUAGGCGGUUUGUCGCGUCUGCUGUGAAAACCCGAGGCUCAACCUCGGGCCUGCAGUGGGUACGGGCAGACUAGAGUGCAGUAGGGGAGAUUGGAAUUCCUGGUGUAGCGGUGGAAUGCGCAGAUAUCAGGAGGAACACCAAUGGCGAAGGCAGAUCUCUGGGCUGUAACUGACGCUGAGGAGCGAAAGCAUGGGGAGCGAACAGGAUUAGAUACCCUGGUAGUCCAUGCCGUAAACGUUGGGCGCUAGAUGUGGGGACCUUUCCACGGUUUCCGUGUCGUAGCUAACGCAUUAAGCGCCCCGCCUGGGGAGUACGGCCGCAAGGCUAAAACUCAAAGGAAUUGACGGGGGCCCGCACAAGCGGCGGAGCAUGCGGAUUAAUUCGAUGCAACGCGAAGAACCUUACCAAGGCUUGACAUAUACCGGAAACGGCCAGAGAUGGUCGCCCCGCAAGGUCGGUAUACAGGUGGUGCAUGGUUGUCGUCAGCUCGUGUCGUGAGAUGUUGGGUUAAGUCCCGCAACGAGCGCAACCCUCGUCCUAUGUUGCCAGCACGUUAUGGUGGGAACUCAUGGGAGACUGCCGGGGUCAACUCGGAGGAAGGUGGGGAUGACGUCAAAUCAUCAUGCCCCUUAUGUCUUGGGCUUCACGCAUGCUACAAUGGCAGGUACAGAGGGCUGCCAUACCCCAA